rnacentral:rRNA from 1 species
GACGGGGACCCGCACAAGCGGUGGAACAUGUGGUUUAAUUCGAAGCAACGCGAAGAACCUUACCAGGGCUUGACAUCUGAGGAACCUUGAUGAAAGUCGAGGGUGCUCUUCGGAGAGCCUCAAGACAGGUGGUGCACGGUUGUCGUCAGCUCGUGUCGUGAGAUGUUGGGUUAAGUCCCACAACGAGCGCAACCCUCGUUGUUAGUUGCAUGCAUCGGUAUACUGGUGCAGUGCUCUCUAGCAAGACUGCCGGUGAUAAACCGGAGGAAGGUGGGGACGACGUCAAAUCAUCAUGCCCCUUAUGCUCUGGGCUACACACGUGUUACAAUGGUCGGUACAACGAGCCGCCAACUCGCGAGAGUGAGCAAAUCUCUUAAAACCGGCCUCAGUUCGGAUUGGACUCUGCAACUCGAGUCCAUGAAGUCGGAAUCGCUAGUAAACGCAGAUCAGCACGCUGCGUUGAAUACGUUCCCGGGUCUUGUACACACCGCCCGUCACACCAUGGAAGUCGACCACGCCCGAAGUACGUGGGCUAACCGUAAGGAAGCAGCGUCCUAAGGCAGGGUUGGUGACUGG